rnacentral:tRNA from 1 species
GGCGGUGUAGUUCAGGUGGUAGAACAGCGGGGUCAUAGUCCGCGUGUCGUGGGUUCGAUUCCCUCCUCCGUCA